AACGAACGCUGGCGGCAUGCCUAACACAUGCAAGUCGAACGGGACCUUCGGGUCUAGUGGCGCACGGGUGCGUAACGCGUGGGAACCUGCCCUUAGGUUCGGAAUAACUCCCCGAAAGGGGUGCUAAUACCGGAUAAUGUCUUCGGACCAAAGAUUUAUCGCCUUUGGAUGGGCCCGCGUUGGAUUAGCUAGUUGGUAGGGUAAAAGCCUACCAAGGCGACGAUCCAUAGCUGGUCUGAGAGGAUGAUCAGCUACACUGGGACUGAGACACGGCCCAGACUCCUACGGGAGGCAGCAGUGGGGAAUAUUGGACAAUGGGCGAAAGCCUGAUCCAGCAAUGCCGCGUGAGUGAUGAAGGCCUUAGGGUUGUAAAGCUCUUUUACCCGGGAUGAUAAUGACAGUACCGGGAGAAUAAGCUCCGGCUAACUCCGUG
rnacentral:rRNA from 1 species